AGGGCGGUGGCUCAAUUGGUAGAGCAGCGGUCUCCAAAACCGCAGGUUGCAGGUUCGUGUCCUGUCCGCCCUG
rnacentral:tRNA from 1 species